GUUGUUUAGAAGGAUUGCAAAAGCAAACUGAGUUAUUGCACACGCUUACUUCACAGAAUAGGCUUUUUCCCUAAUGGAAAUAGCCAGAGACAUGCUAGAACGCACACUCAUACAAUAGCGCUCUGAAAUCGGAGUAUAUAGCCAGAGCCAAUUUACGAAUCAUUUGUUUUUAUUGGAAACGACAGGCUGGGGUCUAGCUUGGUUUAGUUAAAAAUAUAUAUUUGGUGCAAGUGUCAGUAGCAUCUUUGGCGCCCCCUGACAACGGUGAGUCAAAGACAUUUCUGGUUGCGACAACAAAUCAAAAAACUGUAACCCAACAAGUAACCAAUAAUUGCACUCAUCAACCAAUCUGAGACGCCUGUGCAACCAAGAUGUACCCAAUAAUUGAUCAAUAAGAAAAGAGUUAUAGAAUUGACCGGAACUAGAAGAGGAGCGUCUCUUCUCUGUCUCUACCGUGAACAUUUAAUUAAUCUGUAACGUUUUUAAACUUUAGCGGCUUAUGUUAUCAUUUUCUGAAAUCAGAAGUUUUGUUGUCUGCUGUUUUCGAUUGGAAUAUCUAGUAGUAGCAGAAUAUAUGGAGUAGCCACUCUUUAAAAAGAUGCCAGAUGACACCAGCUUCUACAGAUGCACCAUUGAGAGCAUCCUGUCUCGCUACAUCACCGCCUGUGAAGGCAGCUGCACUGGAAGAUGACCAAGGACUUCAGCCAAGGCCUGUUAUAUCCUCUUCCGUCUGGCAGACGGUAACACAGCAUCCACCACCAGGCCAUAAGACUGUUGAAGGGCCUAGCUAUCCACCUGUACAACCUGCUGUUCACCUGCAUCUUUAGAGACUAUUUCCACGGACUCUCUCACAGUAUUGCUUCCAUCCCUCUCCUUGCCCUAACCUGGGCUCGAGCCAGGGACCCAUUGAACACAUCGACAACUUGUCACCAACAAAGCAUCGUUACCUAUCGCUCACUCACUCCCAUCACUGCGGUUAUUAUUUAUUACUAUUUAUUUGUACUGCUCACUUUCUACUUGUUGCCAUAGCACAUUUCACCGUACAUACCGUUACUGCUAGUUUUACUCCUACUUUUAUACCUAUAUUUGUUUACCACUUGCCUUACUGUGUUAUUGUUUUAUUUUUUAUAUUUUGAUAUUUCACUGCACUGUUGAGAGGUAUCCCAAUAAUGGACUAAAGGAGACAAAUGUUACUCCUUAUAGUCCAAGGACCUUACAUGUUCUGUUUAAAAUGUGAAUUGGCUCUGUAAGCCAAAACAGACAAUUACUCCAUCUAAACAUAAAUUGAUUCUCAAUUGUUGUACAGUUCUAGACACAUCAAAUCAUUUAAAAAAUGCAAAAUACACACUGUUUUAAUCAGAUUUAACACAGUUGCAGCCAACAGUAUUUUUCAGUGACAACAUGUUUGUGGUGUACACACAGGUAUUAGGAGACGGAGGCAGCUACUUAGAACUGUCACGCCUGCUCCCGCUCUCCCUCUCUCUGGCGCUGCCUAUCUUUACGCACACCUGUCCCCUUCGUUACACGCACCAGCGCCUCAUUGGACCCACCUGAACUCUAUUAUUAUUAUUAUUAUUAUUAUUAUUUGAUUGCCUUCCCUUCAUCUGUCUGUUCCUCACGUUAUUCCCUGUGUCAGCAUUGAUUUCGUUACUUUGUCCUGUCCAGACGCUGGUCCUGUCCUGUUUUAUUUCUGUAGUUGAUUAAAUGUUCUCCCUGUACCUGC
ensembl:lncRNA